GAGAAUUCCACCCUGGGAACAGAAAGUGCAGCUCCUCCUAACUCCCACAACCCAGCUUUUAAAAGAAUUGUUACCACAACCCGACUCAAAGAGCCAAUUCCCCGCAAUCGUGUUUGCAGAAACUCCUGUCCUUGUGAAUUACAGAACUCUUUAUGCCCAGAAUUAUGAAGGAAUUUGGUGAUUAAAUGAAUUCUUUUUUCUCUUCACACUGUGCAUGGAUAUCUGUGCACAGUGUGAAUGCAGAUCCUUCAAAACCCAGAAGAAUGCAUCAAAUCCCCUGUUACUGGAGUUACCAACAGUUGUGAGCUGCCAUGCGGGUGCCUGGUCCUUGAAGAGAGCUUUGACUGAACCACCUCUCAGUCCUCAGCUACUUCUCCCAUUGACUCCCAUGUGUGCAUCCUUCUGUCUCUUCUUAACUUCUCUUUUACCACCUUAAUCCAUGGGCCUAGGGACUGAAUAUAACAGGAAAGAACAGUUGCGUGGCUUUCCUUCUUUUCAUAGAGAUGCAGAAGCUUAAAACAUUCUCAUCUACUUUGAUCCAAGGAAGUCUAAUAAAAAUCUAAGGAAA